rnacentral:rRNA from 1 species
AAUCGGCCACAUUGGGACUGAGACACGGCCCAAACUCCUACGGGAGGCAGCAGUAGGGAAUCUUCCACAAUGGACGAAAGUCUGAUGGAGCAACGCCGCGUGAGUGAAGAAGGGUUUCGGCUCGUAAAACUCUGUUGUUAAAGAAGAACAUAUCUGAGAGUAACUGUUCAGGUAUUGACGGUAUUUAACCAGAAAGCCACGGCUAACUACGUGCCAGCAGCCGCGGUAAUACGUAGGUGGCAAGCGUUGUCCGGAUUUAUUGGGCGUAAAGCGAGCGCAGGCGGUUUUUUAAGUCUGAUGUGAAAGCCUUCGGCUCAACCGAAGAAGUGCAUCGGAAACUGGGAAACUUGAGUGCAGAAGAGGACAGUGGAACUCCAUGUGUAGCGGUGAAAUGCGUAGAUAUAUGGAAGAACACCAGUGGCGAAGGCGGCUGUCUGGUCUGUAACUGACGCUGAGGCUCGAAAGUAUGGGUAGCAAACAGGAUUAGAUACCCUGGUAGUCCAUACCGUAAACGAUGAAUGCUAAGUGUUGGAGGGUUUCCGCCCUUCAGUGCUGCAGCUAACGCAUUAAGCAUUCCGCCUGGGGAGUACGGCCGCAAGGCUGAAACUCAAAGGAAUUGACGGGGGCCCGCACAAGCGGUGGAGCAUGUGGUUUAAUUCGAAGCUACGCGAAGAACCUUACCAGGUCUUGACAUACUAUGCAAAUCUAAGAGAUUAGACGUUCCCUUCGGGGACAUGGAUACAGGUGGUGCAUGGUUGUCGUCAGCUCGUGUCGUGAGAUGUUGGGUUAAGUCCCGCAACGAGCGCAACCCUUAUUAUCAGUUGCCAGCAUUAAGUUGGGCACUCUGGUGAGACUGCCGGUGACAAACCGGAGGAAGGUGGGGAUGACGUCAAAUCAUCAUGCCCCUUAUGACCUGGGCUACACACGUGCUACAAUGGAUGGUACAACGAGUUGCGAACUCGCGAGAGUAAGCUAAUCUCUUAAAGCCAUUCUCAGUUCGGAUUGUAGGCUGCAACUCGCCUACAUGAAG